AAACCUCUUUGAGUAGGGAAGAAGCGUAAGUGACGGUACCUGCAGAAAAAGCACCGGCUAACUACGUGCCAGCAGCCGCGGUAAUACGUAGGGUGCAAGCGUUGUCCGGAAUUAUUGGGCGUAAAGAGCUCGUAGGCGGUUUGUCGCGUCUGCUGUGAAAACCGGAGGCUCAACCUCCGGCCUGCAGUGGGUACGGGCAGACUAGAGUGCGGUAGGGGAGAUUGGAAUUCCUGGUGUAGCGGUGGAAUGCGCAGAUAUCAGCAGGAACACCGAUGGCGAAGGCAGAUCUCUGGGCCGUAACUGACGCUGAGGAGCGAAAGCAUGGGGAGCGAACAGGAUUAGAUACCCUGGUAGUCCAUGCCGUAAACGUUGGGCGCUAGAUGUAGGGGCCAUUCCACGGUUUCUGUGUCGCAGCUAACGCAUUAAGCGCCCCGCCUGGGGAGUACGGCCGCAAGGCUAAAACUCAAAGGAAUUGACGGGGGCCCGCACAAGCGGCGGAGCAUGCGGAUUAAUUCGAUGCAACGCGAAGAACCUUACCAAGGCUUGACAUAUACCGGUAACGGCCAGAAAUGGUCGCCCCGCAAGGUCGGUAUACAGGUGGUGCAUGGUUGUCGUCAGCU
rnacentral:rRNA from 1 species